GAUGAACGCUGGCGGCGUGCUUAACACAUGCAAGUCGAACGGGAAUUAUUUUAUUGAAACUUCGGUCGAUUUAAUUUAAUUCUAGUGGCGGACGGGUGAGUAACGCGUGGGUAACCUGCCUUAUACAGGGGGAUAACAGUCAGAAAUGGCUGCUAAUACCGCAUAAGCGCACAGAGCUGCAUGGCUCAGUGUGAAAAACUCCGGUGGUAUAAGAUGGACGCGCGUUGGAUUAGCUGGUUGGUGGGGUAACGGCCCACCACGGCGACGAUCCAUAGCCGGCAAGAGAGAGUGAACGGACACAUUGGGACUGAGACACGGCCCAGAAUCCUACGGGAGGCAGCAGUGGGGAAUAUUGCACAAUGGGGGAAACGCUGAUGCAGCGACGCCGGAUGAAGGAAGAAGUAGCUCGGUAUGUAAACUUCUAUCAGCAGGGAAGAUAGUGACGGUACCUGACUAAGAAGCCCCGGCUAACUACGUG
rnacentral:rRNA from 1 species